GGGCCUGUAGCUCAGUUGGUUAGAGCACUGGACUCAUAAUCCAUUGGUCGAAGGUUCGAGUCCUUCCGGGCCCACCA
rnacentral:tRNA from 4 species